GAUGAAGAACGCAGCGAAAUGCGAUAAGUAAUGCGAAUUGCAGAAUUCAGUGAGUCAUCGAAUCUUUGAACGCACAUUGCGCCCCCUGGUAUUCCGGGGGGCAUGCCUGUCCGAGCGUCAUUGCUGCCCUCAAGCACGGCUUGUGUGUUGGGCCCCGCCCCCCGGCUCCCGGGGGGCGGGCCCGAAAGGCAGCGGCGGCACCGCGUCCGGUCCUCGAGCGUAUGGGGCUUCGUCACCCGCUCCGUAGGCCCGGCCGGCGCCCGCCGGCGACCCCCCUCAAUCUUUUCAGGUUGACCUCGGAUCAGGUAGGGAUACCCGCUGAACUUAAGCAUAUCAAAAGCGGAGGA
rnacentral:misc_RNA from 1 species